rnacentral:misc_RNA from 1 species
GACGCACAUUGCGCCCCUUGGUAUUCCGAGGGGCAUGCCUGUUCGAGCGUCAUUGCAACCCCUCAAGCUCAGCUUGGUGUUGGGGCCUGCCGCAGCUGGCAGCCCUUAAAAUCAGUGGCGGUGCCGAUCUGGCUCUAAGCGUAGUAAUUCUUCUCGCUACAGGGUCCCGGUGAGCGCUUGCCAUCAAGCCUAUACUUUCUAUGGUUGACCUCGGAUCAGGUAGGGAUACCCGCUGAACUUAA